GCGACUUCCCUGGCCCUCCCCCUGCGGACCAGUGAACCUCGCCCGAGGGCUCAAUAAAGAAGAUUUUUGCCCUCUUUUUCUCACCUCUCAGCCUUAUUGAUCCAUGGUGCCCUUCCAUUGCCUUUCAUUGGUGCCGAAACCCGGGAGGGGACACCUCCUAAGCCCCCCCAGAGGCUCAGGGGGACUCCCCUCCUGGUCGGAUCAGUCCUCUCCCUCAGUCAGGUCAGGCUUCUCCUCCACGGCCAUCUGUCCAUUUCGUCCGGUUACUUGCUGCCAGGUCGCAGUUGCUGCAGCUACUCCAGUCCAAUUCGGCCGACGCUAGGGGAAGUCCAAAUCGGCACUGACGACUCAGAGACGUCCAUGUCUGAAGUAGCCGAUCCGAGGCUCCAGGAGCCGCGUGGUCUGAGUGACCCCAGAGGGAUGCUUCUGCUGUCCCUCAGACCGCUGCCAUAAGGGGAAGAGGAUGGGGUCCACCCAGUCCAAAAUCACGCAAAACACCCCCUUAGGGUGCCUUCUGCGCAACCUCCCAACUUUACAACUCAAUCAAGAUUUAAAAUGAAAGCGACUAAUUUUCUUCUGCACAGUUGCCUGGCUGCAAUAUACCUUGGACAACCAAUCUCGCUGGCCCCCCAAAGGCACACUCGACUUCAAUAUCCUAAACGACCUUACCAAUUUUUGUCAGAGGCGAGGCAAAUAGUCAAAAAUCAAAUUUGUUCAAAGGUUCUGGGACCUCCGCUCUCGUCGGACCGCUGCCGCCAAGUGUUUUCGCUGGCACAAGUCCCUGUGGCUAGCCUUCCCCUUGAAGUCUGGCCAGCCUCUCUUGCCGUUAAUCCUGUCCGGGGCCCCCAUCUUAGUCUCUCUGCCGCCAUCUCCUUCUGCACUGCCGCCAUCUUACUACCUGCUUCCUCACUGCCGCCAUCUUACUUCCUUUUUUCUCUGCUGCCAUUUUAGUUCUUCUGCCACCAUUCGGCUGCCAUUUUAAUUCCCAUUAGUUCCCAUUUGUUCUUUUAACCCUGCCCAGCUAACUCCUUGGCUUCCAUCUUACCCGCAUUCUUAUUUCCACCUGCCUAUAGUGCCAUACCAGUCCACUGCAUCUACAACUCCUAACACAUUCGCUGCGGGCAGUGAUAUCCACUAAUCCUGGAUGAGGCAGCGGAGGGCCCCCAAACCCCUAUCCAGGACUUAGUAAAGCUGGCGUUCAAAGUUUUUAAUUCCUGAGAGGAGGCGGCUGAGGUACAACGACAGGCAAGCCUGAAACAAAAAGUUCAGCUCCAAACCCAAGCCCUGGCAGCUGCCCUGCAACCGGCAUUCCCUAAGAGCCGCGGCAGGAGAGGUAGAGGUACAAUCUCCCGGGCCCCGUCUGGCGUCUGCUUCAAGUGAGGCAACUCAGGACACUGGGCCAGCCGGUGCCCUAGCCAACAGCAACCGUCCUGCCCGCCUUGCAACUGUUUCAAGUGUGGCAAUCCAGGUCAUUGGGCAAAACAGUGCCCAAACCCCAAGCCGCCAACACACCCGUGCCCUAACUGCCAACAAAUGGAGCACUGGAGGUCAGACUGCCCCAGCCUCGGAGCGGCCGCUGUGGCUCCACAUGGCGACCCCUCCCUGGAUGGCGAAGGUGCCCUCUAGCUCCUCCAACUGGAUGACGACUGAAGAGGCCCAGGCUCGGGAACCCCUCUCACCCUUGCCGAGCCCAGGGUAAUGCUUCAGGUAGCGGAUCAACUGAGAUGCAAAACCCAUGUUCACAUCAUGAGUGAGUCUUCUAACUCGGACAAUGCAAUCAACAAAUUCUAAGACCAAAUUCCGGUGGCACUGGCUCCAAAGCUCCUGAGUGUGGAAGGAGGUGAACAGGGAAAAGCAGAGAGGACAAAAGUCACAUCCCCUCCCCACAGACCCAUACUGGGGAAGGGUGGAAGAUUUAGCUGCGAGUCAAGUUCAGAAUUUUGAUUAACAUCUUGGCAUGCACAUUCGAAUUUCAGAAUCAAGACUGUUGGCCAUAAAAAAUGACUAUAGCCUUGUGUAUUACCUGAACUGAGCAGUAAAAAAAAAGUCAUGGUCCUUCUGGGGCUUUUAUUCUGAGACAGGAACCCUGAACAGGCAGGAGAAAGGGAAUGUUGACAGAGAAACAAAGACAGUUGGCGACACACGCUGACCGCCAUGCGGACGUCCAUCAAACCCAGCACUGGCCCUGGGUACGUGCGCCUUUGCUAUUACCCCAAUACAUUUUCUUCUGCAGAGCAAGCAACAGAACACAUGCAGACCUUAAUAAAUACCACUGGGUAAUGUGACAAUGGCCAAACUCUCCUCACGGGGGAGAGAGUGUCCCCCAGUUUUGCUCCCUUUUAAUUUCCAGGGUUCAUAAGUAGCUCUAAAGCUUUGCUCUACAAGGUUGAUACAUACGAUAUUAAUGUUUCCCCUAAGCAGUAUAACAUAAAUAUAUUUGCUAUCUUGACAUUCUGGGUUUGGUUUUUCAGUGUUGGCGUAAGUGGGUUUUAUACUUUCUGGAACAAGAGUUCAUCACCAAAGGGAAAAUGCUGUCCACCCCACCCUCUUUGAAAGAAAAGGCUCAGCCCAUAGUUCUCCAGAUGAAAGAAAUGUACCUAAUCAGCUAUUUCCUGUUGCUUGAUUGGAUGUUAACAAUGGAGAUAGACACACAGCUAAUUGUGGUGGCACAGCAGGAAGCCUAAUUCACUUUGCUGUAGAAAUGCCCACACAGAGAAAGUGGGAGAUGGCUGCACAAGAGGCCCCAUAGGCAGGCAAAUGCUUACUGCAGUUUCUUUCCCAAACAUUUCCAAAUAGACCAAAUAAACAUGAAUUUGCUCACUGUAGUUUAUAUUCCAAAUAAAAAUGAAUUUCUGGCCA
ensembl:lncRNA LINC01287 long intergenic non-protein coding RNA 1287